rnacentral:rRNA from 1 species
GAUGAACGCUAGCGGGAGGCUUAACACAUGCAAGUCGAGGGGCAGCAUAGGGUAGCAAUACUCUGAUGGCGACCGGCAAACGAGUGAGUAACGCGUAUGCAACCUACCCUGUACAGGGGGAUAACCCGGAGAAAUUCGGACUAAUAUCCCGUAAUAAUAUCCGGAGGCAUCUUUGGAUAUUUAAAGUUCCGACGGUACGGGAUGGGCAUGCGUAACAUUAGCUGGUUGGUAAGGUAACGGCUUACCAAGGCUAUGAUGUUUAGGGGUCCUGAGAGGGUGGUCCCCCACACUGGUACUGAGACACGGACCAGACUCCUACGGGAGGCAGCAGUGAGGAAUAUUGGUCAAUGGGCGCAAGCCUGAACCAGCCAUCCCGCGUGCAGGAAGACGGCCCUAUGGGUUGUAAACUGCUUUUCCAGGGAGAGAAACUUACGCACGUGUUGCGUGACUGACGGUACCCUGGGAAUAAGCAUCGGCUAACUCCGUG